rnacentral:rRNA from 1 species
AUCCAGACUCCUACGGGAGGCAGCAGUGGGGGAUAUUGCACAAUGGGGGGAACCCUGAUGCAGCGACGCCGCGUGGGUGAAGGAGUGCUUCGGCAUGUAAAGCCCUAUCGGCAGGGAAGAAGCAAGACGGUACCUGACUAAGAAGCCCCGGCUAACUACGUGCCAGCAGCCGCGGUAAUACGUAGGGGGCGAGCGUUAUCCGGAUUCACUGGGUGUAAAGGGAGCGUAGACGGCCAUGCAAGCCAGGGGUGAAAGCCCGGGGCCCAACCCCGGGACUGCCCUUGGAACUGCAUGGCUGGAGUGCGGGAGGGGCAGGCGGAAUUCCUGGUGUAGCGGUGAAAUGCGUAGAUAUUAGGAGGAACACCAGUGGCGAAGGCGGCCUGCUGGGCUUUUACUGACGCUGAGGCUCGAAAGUGUGGGGAGCAAACAGGAUUAGAUACCCCUGUAAAA